rnacentral:lncRNA from 1 species
CAGUUUUAGGAGUUUAUCGGUUCCAGCUCGUCAAGAUCCCAGCACCAUAGAAGAACCUGUAGUUAGGAUUGAACCUCGUCCGAUCUUUGUACCGGACACCAUUCCCUGUUCUUUGACUUCGGACGAACUCUCGCUGAUCAGGAUUCAGUACGGGGUUCCUCCAGAGUACGAGCUUGAGCUUUCCGGACCAACUGACCGGGCUAGCGCCCCUCCC